CAGCAUCAUAUAACAAAAGAAAAAAUAACACGAGAUAAGUAUUUAUUAUUGCAGGAAUGUCAUCGUCAUGAACAAGACGAUCUCAAAAAUUUUUACAUUCAAACAUGAUCAAUGCUAGUCUCUGAAGUCUUGUCGAUAGCCCCUUCACGGACCUCCACACCAGUAGGACCAAGUUCUUGGAUCUCCAUGCUCCUGGAGCUACCCUGAGUGAUGGAGGUCUCGACACU
rnacentral:lncRNA from 1 species